AGGAGUUGAUUAGCAUUCAUUGAGCUGUGUAGGAACAGGACCUGGGCUUGUGGCAAAAAACACCCAGACUAAUUGGACUCACCUGUACCCAAUAUCCUGGCUAAAUUAGGAUAUCUGAGGCGUGGCUGAGGA